GCGAUAUUGAAGAACAUAAAAGUAUAGCCAGUUUCCUCCUUUGAUCAGCACAUUCAACUGGUGCAAUACAGGGAUGGAAAGGAAGGCAAGAAAUGGAGGUGGAUGAAUGGACAGGGAAGCCUGCUGCCAUGUCUUGAGGACCCUCCAACAGCUCUGUGGAGAAGCCCACAUGGUGAGAAACUGAGGCCUUCAUGCAACAGCCAUGUGAAAAAGUCUUCAUGGAAGUGGGUCUUCCAGCCCAAUCAGAUCUUCAGAUGACUGCAGCCCCAGCUGACAGUUUCACAGGAAACUAAUGAGAGACCCUGAACCAGAGCCACCUGGGCCCCUGAGUUUCUGGCAGUUACAGUCAGGGCCCUCUGCUGAAAGAAGCAUCAUGGAAACCUGGACACACAUGAGAACCGGCCUUCCACGCAGGCAAGAAGCAGAAACUGAGGCUCCUCCUUCUCCAUCAUGAGGAAUGUCUUCUGGAAGGCCCUCUGUUGACCUCUCUUGAGAGAUGGCUUUGGUCUGGGUCACCCUGGGCCAUCAGUCAUAUUCUAAUAAUUUGAACCUUAAAAAGAAGGGGUUCUGGUUUCUGUUUCCUCUUUUUGUGUCCCAUAUAAAUUUCAGAUGCGGACAGAUGUAUAGGCAUGGGGCCUUGGCUAACUGCACUCACGACUCUUAGCCAAAUUAAUGAAGGAUAAUACUAAAGAGAACAAAACCCCCAGGGUAUUACAUAUGGAUUUCAAAUUCCAGAAUGAGUGCGAGAUAAGGGAAAUGAUGUAGUAUUUAAGACAGAAUCUCAAAUAAGAGCCAACCAAUACUGCCCCAGCCCUUGACCCGAGUUCUAAUUUCUCCUUUUGCACAUGGAAAGGGAGAAAGAAGAGGAGCAUGUGAGUGGUUUGAAGUACCCUGCCAUUCCUUACACAUCUGGGCAAAACUCAUCAUAAUAAGGAAGAAAUGAAAAUUGAGACGGAGGCUGAAGGAGGAGCCCUGAUUCUGUUUUCGGCUAUCCACAGGAUGGGACAUUUUAU
rnacentral:lncRNA from 1 species